CUGGAAUCGCUAGUAAUCGCGAAUCAGAAUGUCGCGGUGAAUACGUUCCCGGGUCUUGUACACACCGCCCGUCACACCAUGGGAGUCGGAAAUGCCCGAAGUCAGUGACCCAACCGUAAGGAGGGAGCUGCCGAAGGUGGAGCCGGUAACUGGGGUGAAGUCGUAACAAGGUAGC
rnacentral:rRNA from 1 species